AGUGAACGCUGGCGGCAGGCCUAACACAUGCAAGUCGAACGGCAGCACAGUGGAGCUUGCUCCAUGGGUGGCGAGUGGCGGACGGGUGAGGAAUACAUCGGAAUCUGCCCAGUCGUGGGGGAUAACAUAGGGAAACUUAUGCUAAUACCGCAUACGACCUACGGGUGAAAGCGGGGGAUCGCAAGACCUCGCGCGAUUGGAUGAGCCGAUGUCCGAUUAGCUAGUUGGCGGGGUAAUGGCCCACCAAGGCGACGAUCGGUAGCUGGUCUGAGAGGAUGAUCAGCCACACUGGAACUGAGACACGGUCCAGACUCCUACGGGAGGCAGCAGUGGGGAAUAUUGGACAAUGGGCGCAAGCCUGAUCCAGCCAUGCCGCGUGGGUGAAGAAGGCCUCGGUGUAAGACCUUGUCG
rnacentral:rRNA from 1 species